rnacentral:rRNA from 1 species
CACGUAGGGCGCAAGCGUUGUCCGGAAUUAUUGGGCGUAAAGAGCUCGUAGGCGGUCUGUUGCGUCUGCUGUGAAAACCCGGGGCUUAACCCCUGGCUUGCAGUGGAUACGGGCAGACUAGAGUACGGCAGGGGAGACUGGAAUUCCUGGUGUAGCGGUGGAAUGCGCAGAUAUCAGGAGGAACACCGAUGGCGAAGGCAGAUCUCUGGGCCGUAACUGACGCUGAGGAGCGAAAGCGUGGGGAGCGAACAGG